AGAGCGAACGCUGGCGGCAGGCUUAACACAUGCAAGUCGAGCGGGCGUAGCAAUACGUCAGCGGCAGACGGGUGAGUAACGCGUGGGAACAUACCUUUUGGUUCGGAACAACACAGGGAAACUUGUGCUAAUACCGGAUAAGCCCUUACGGGGAAAGAUUUAUCGCCGAAAGAUUGGCCCGCGUCUGAUUAGCUAGUUGGUGAGGUAAUGGCUCACCAAGGCGACGAUCAGUAGCUGGUCUGAGAGGAUGAUCAGCCACAUUGGGACUGAGACACGGCCCAAACUCCUACGGGAGGCAGCAGUGGGGAAUAUUGGACAAUGGGCGCAAGCCUGAUCCAGCCAUGCCGCGUGAGUGAUGAAGGCCCUAGGGUUGUAAAGCUCUUUUGGUGCGGGAAGAUAAUGACGGUACCGCAAGAAUAACGCCCGGCUAACUUCGCGCCAGCAGCCGC
rnacentral:rRNA from 1 species